AGAGUUUGAUCCUGGCUCAGGACGAACGCUGGCGGCGUGCUUAACACAUGCAAGUCGAACGAAGAGCGACGGAAGCUUGCUUCUAUCAAUCUUAGUGGCGAACGGGUGAGUAACGCGUAAUCAACCUGCCCUUCAGAGGGGGACAACAGUUGGAAACGACUGCUAAUACCGCAUACGAUCUAAUCUCGGCAUCGAGGAUAGAUGAAAGGUGGCCUCUACAUGUAAGCUAUCACUGAAGGAGGGGAUUGCGUCUGAUUAGCUAGUUGGAGGGGUAACGGCCCACCAAGGCGAUGAUCAGUAGCCGGUCUGAGAGGAUGAACGGCCACAUUGGGACUGAGACACGGCCCAGACUCCUACGGGAGGCAGCAGUGGGGAAUCUUCCGCAAUGGACGAAAGUCUGACGGAGCAACGCCGCGUGAGUGAUGACGGCCUUCGGGUUGUAAAGCUCUGUUAAUCGGGACGAAAGGCCUUCUUGCGAAUAGUGAGAAGGAUUGACGGUACCGGAAUAGAAAGCCACGGCUAACUACGUGCCAGCAGCCGCGGUAAUACGUAGGUGGCAAGCGUUGUCCGGAAUUAUUGGGCGUAAAGCGCGCGCAGGCGGAUAGGUCAGUCUGUCUUAAAAGUUCGGGGCUUAACCCCGUGAUGGGAUGGAAACUGCCAAUCUAGAGUAUCGGAGAGGAAAGUGGAAUUCCUAGUGUAGCGGCGAAAUGCGUAGAUAUUAGGAAGAACACCAGUGGCGAAGGCGACUUUCUGGACGAAAACUGACGCUGAGGCGCGAAAGCCAGGGGAGCGAACGAGAUUAGAUACCCCGGUAGUCCUGGCCGUA
rnacentral:rRNA from 1 species